GUAUAAUGGGUCAGCGACUUAUAUUUUGUAGCAAGGUUAACCGUAUAGGGGAGCCGUAGGGAAACCGAGUCUUAACUGGGCGAUUAGUUGCAAGGUAUAGACCCGAAACCCGGUGAUCUAGCCAUGGGCAGGUUGAAGGUUGGGUAACACUAACUGGAGGACCGAACCGACUAAUGUUGAAAAAUUAGCGGAUGACUUGUGGCUGGGGGUGAAAGGCCAAUCAAACCGGGAGAUAGCUGGUUCUCCCCGAAAGCUAUUUAGGUAGCGCCUCGUGAACUCAUCUUCGGGGGUAGAGCACUGUUUCGGCUAGGGGGCCAUCCCGGCUUACCAAACCGAUGCAAACUCCGAAUACCGAAGAAUGUUAUCACGGGAGACACACGGCGGGUGCUAACGUCCGUCGUGAAGAGGGAAACAACCCAGACCGCCAGCUAAGGUCCCAAAGUCAUGGUUAAGUGGGAAACGAUGUGGGAAGGCAUAGACAGCCAGGAUGUUGGCUUAGAAGCAGCCAUCAUUUAAAGAAAGCGUAAUAGCUCACUGGUCGAGUCGGCCUGCGCGGAAGAUGUAACGGGGCUAAACCAUGCACCGAAGCUGCGGCAGCGACGCUUAGCGUUGUUGGGUAGGGGAGCGUUCUGUAAGCCGUUGAAGGUGGCCUGUGAGGGUUGCUGGAGGUAUCAGAAGUGCGAAUGCUGACAUAAGUAACGAUAAAGCGGGUGAAAAGCCCGCUCGCCGGAAGACCAAGGGUUCCUGUCCAACGUUAAUCGGGGCAGGGUGAGUCGACCCCUAAGGCGAGGCUGAAAAGCGUAGUCGAUGGGAAACAGGUUAAUAUUCCUGUACUUGGUGUUACUGCGAAGGGGGGACGGAGAAGGCUAGGCUAGCCGGGCGACGGUUGUCCCGGUUUAAGCGUGUAGGGGGUGUGACCUGGUAAAUCCGGUUGCAUACUAACCCUGAGGCGUGAUGACGAUGCACUACGGUGCAGAAGUAGUUGAUGCCCUGCUUCCAGGAAAAUCCUCUAAGCUCCAGGUAACAUUAAAUCGUACCCCAAACCGACACAGGUGGUCAGGUAGAGAAUACCAAGGCGCUUGAGAGAACUCGGGUGAAGGAACUAGGCAAAAUGGUGCCGUAACUUCGGGAGAAGGCACGCUGGCAUGUAGGUGAAGUCCCUUGCGGAUGGAGCUGAAGCCAGUCGAAGAUACCAGCUGGCUGCAACUGUUUAAUAAAAACACAGCACUGUGCAAACACGAAAGUGGACGUAUACGGUGUGACGCCUGCCCGGUGCUGGAAGGUUAAUUGAUGGGGUCAGCCGCAAGGCGAAGCUCUUGAUCGAAGCCCCAGUAAACGGCGGCCGUAACUAUAACGGUCCUAAGGUAGCGAAAUUCCUUGUCGGGUAAGUUCCGACCUGCACGAAUGGCGUAAUGAUGGCCAGGCUGUCUCCACCCGAGACUCAGUGAAAUUGAACUCGCUGUGAAGAUGCAGUGUACCCGCGGCAAGACGGAAAGACCCCGUGAACCUUUACUAUAGCUUGACACUGAACAUUGAGCCUUGAUGUGUAGGAUAGGUGGGAGGCUUUGAAGCGUGGACGCCAGUCUGCGUGGAGCCAUCCUUGAAAUACCACCCUUUAAUGUUUGAUGUUCUAACUCGGCCCCAUAAUCUGGGGUGAGGACAGUGUCUGGUGGGUAGUUUGACUGGGGCGGUCUCCUCCCAAAGAGUAACGGAGGAGCACGAAGGUUAGCUAAUCACGGUCGGACAUCGUGAGGUUAGUGCAAAGGCAUAAGCUAGCUUGACUGCGAGAGUGACGGCUCGAGCAGGUACGAAAGUAGGUCUUAGUGAUCCGGUGGUUCUGAAUGGAAGGGCCAUCGCUCAACGGAUAAAAGGUACUCCGGGGAUAACAGGCUGAUACCGCCCAAGAGUUCAUAUCGACGGCGGUGUUUGGCACCUCGAUGUCGGCUCAUCACAUCCUGGGGCUGAAGUAGGUCCCAAGGGUAUGGCUGUUCGCCAUUUAAAGUGGUACGCGAGCUGGGUUUAGAACGUCGUGAGACAGUUCGGUCCCUAUCUGCCGUGGGCGUUGGAAGAUUGAGAGGGGUUGCUCCUAGUACGAGAGGACCGGAGUGAACGCACCACUGGUGUUCGGGUUGUCAUGCCAAUGGCAUUGCCCGGUAGCUAAGUGCGGAAAAGAUAAGCGCUGAAAGCAUCUAAGCGCGAAACUUGCCUCAA
rnacentral:rRNA from 1 species